rfam:Schistosoma rodhaini strain Burundi genome assembly, scaffold: SROB_scaffold0000401
GCACUGCUGAGAAGUCUCAUAAUAGGACGAAACGGCCGUCCAGUGC